ACUGGUUAAAGAGUUUACAGACAACUUUACUUCUGAAUCUGGUGUUAGACUCCGGGACGGCAGAGCAAGUCAUCCCGAAAGAAAGAUGGACAUAAAACAGGAAAGAGCAAGGACAAACUGGGACCCAUGGAGAGGCACAGGAACCCCUAUCUGUCCCUCUCCACCUUCAAGCUUCCAACUUCAGUGACACAGAUGCAGAUUGACUGAGGCCCACUGAGAGGAGAACACUUGCAGAAUGGUUACGCAAUGAAGUAGCAGUGCCAGACUGGAACACACGAUCCCUGACCCCCAAGUCGGUGUUCUUCCUGCUGUCCCCAACAGCCACAGUGGUACAGGUGAUAUCAAGUCCUGGACCUGGGCUGGCUGGAUUCAAGAAAGCACUGAUGUAAGAACAUGCAAUGUUUCAGGACAACUUUGCAAAACAGCCCUAGAUCCUGGUUGAGGGAUAUGCCCAGCCAGGGACAUGAGGCCCACUGAAGCUCCUAGCAACUCCAUCCCCCAGAGCUGCUCAAGCCAGCAAGUCCCACUGGAAGCUUAUCAGUGAGAUCACCUUCCUGCCCAGUCUUGACUGUUUGUUUUGUUUUUGCUUUUCAGGACCCAGUUGAUUGGCCUGAACAUGCCCAGUCUUUUACUGAUGACUUUGAUUCUCUCCUGUCUCAUUCCUGAAGUUUUAAAUAUAUUUUUCCAAAACCCACAUUAUGAUUUGUUUUUCAGGUGUACCAGGAAGGUUGUUUGGUUGAAAGUAGUAAGAAGCAGAAGGCAUGAGCUCAUGGAGAGCACCACCCACAUUGAAUUGGGUACAGAAUAGGAAGGUUCAGUUUAAUAAAAAUUUACCUGGUACCUACUAUGACCAGGCAUCAGAUGAAUUAGCCAGGACAUAGCACAAUGACUACCACAUAGCAGAUAUUCAAAAUCUUUAUUGAAAUAGUGAAUGAAAUCUGUCCAUGGCCUCAAGAGAAAAUAGACUCAUAAAUGUAUCAUCGCAAAAGCACAGAGGAGAGAGCAUCUAACUCAACCUGGAGGAAAUGUCAUGCCAAACAAAAGGGACAUCAGAUGCAGAGGCGUUUUCACAUCCAAUUAGCUACCCUGUGAGGUAGAGGGGAUGCCAUUCUACAUACAGAUGAUGAAACUGAGCUUCAGAGUUCCACUUCUUGCCCAAGGUCACAUAUCUAACAACUGGCAGCCCAGAAGUAGAACCCAUGCCUCCAACUCCUGAUCCAAGGUUCAUUUCCAAUAAAUGGAUCAUUACUUAUUGAUACAGGCAAUGCCACAGUACUUUGGAGACCCCAAGAAUAGAACCACACCCUGUCUCAUCAAAGCAGCACCUUGGAGGGGUGGCCAAGAGCUCAGACUCUGAAAUCUGACUGAACUGCUAUCCAUUCACCACCUUGUCACUUAUUAGAUGUGUGAUUUUUUUUUUCUUUUGAGACGGAGUCUUGCUCUGUCGCCCAGGCUGGAGUGCAGUGGCAUGAUCUCGGCUCACUGCAACCUCCGCCUCCCGAGUUCAAGCGAUUCUCCUACCUCAGCCUCUAGAGUAGCUGGGACCACAGGCGUGCACCACCACACCUGGCUAAUUUUUGUAUUUUUAAUAGAGAUGAGGUUCCACUGUGUUGGCCGGGCUAAUCUUGAACUCCUGACCUCAGGUGAUCCGCCUGCCUUGGCCUCCCAAAGUGCUGGGAUUACAGGCGUAAGCCACCACGCCAGGCCUAGAUGUGUGAUCUUAAGAAAAAUAUUUUAUCUGUCUGAAUCUCUGCUUUAUACAUCUUUUUAAAAUGGAGAAUAAUAAUAACACAAACGCCUAGUGAACCUCUCAUCUUUUAUGCCCCCUUCUCAUGACUCAGUCCCCCUCUUCUGGCAAGACUAUGUAGAUUUUUUCCUUUCGGGACGCACCCCUCCUCCAUCCCCAGUCCUUCUGUUUCAGCUGAAGCUAACUCCACCCCCAGUUCCAGAUGUAGGCACAUGACUGAGGCUUGGCCAAUCAGAAUAUUCUGUGUCCGAACACAGUGAUUGGUUCAGAGAUUAACAAUGACGCAAGUUGGAGACCCAAUUAUAGUAUGAGCCUCUGGGAAGGAGAACCUGCCUUCCCAAUGGGUUUGCUGAGCAUGUCACUGGCACCCCUAUAACUGCUAGAGGCUAACUAGCCGUCACUGAAAAAAGGGGGACAGAGAAGCUGCUUGAGAGUGAAGUCGACCCAGAAGAAAACAGAAUAGAAAGAUGGAAAAAGAUUGGCGACAUUUUUUUUUUUUUUAAUUGGGACAGUCUCAUUCUAUUAUGCAGGCUGGAGUGCAGUUGCGCGAUCUCGGCUCACUGCAACCUCCACCUCCUGGGUUCAAGCAGUUCUCCUGCCUCAGCCUCCCGAGUAGCUGGGAUUACAGGUGCCUGCCACCACGCCUGGUUAAUUUUUGCAUUUUUAGUAGAGACAGCGUUUCUCCAAGUUGGCCAGGCUGGUCUCAAAUUCCUGACCUCAAGUGAUCCACCCACCUCGGCCUCCCAAAGUUCUGGGAUUACAGGCGUGAGCCACCACGCCUGGCCUGGCGACAUAAACUCCUGGAUCGAGUUGUGCCUCGUUCCCCUGGACUUGCCAUUUCAUGAACCAAAACAUCUUUUCCCCCUGGAGCCAUUUUGACAUGGAAUUCUAUUAUUUUUAACCAAAAGAGCCCUAGCAUGCUGGUUCCUAUGAAGGCUGGAUGGGAUAGCGUGAGUAAUGCUUGUGGAGCACUUCGCACAGAGCAAGGGCUCAAAAAAAAUGACUCUUGUUAUUUUGUCUUCCCUGGCCUGAACCACCUCAUUACCCUCAAAAUGAUUAGCACAGCAAGUGGCCAUAACACUGAGGACAGAGCUGCUGACUUGGCCUGAUGCAUUCACUGGCUUCCUUCU
rnacentral:lncRNA from 10 species